GGUCUGGUAGUGUAGUGGUAACACACCCAUUCUCUCUAUUGAGGAUGAAUCUCUCAAACGAGAAUCCCUUGUUCGACUCAAGGCUAGGCCA